GUAGGACUAACGAAGGCUCAGAGAGUCUGGUUUGCCCACGGCCCCAAGGAGGCAGGAAAGCACUGUGGGUAAGCCAGCCGGCUUUGGCAUCGGACUGCCAACUUUCAAAUCCUAGCUUGGCUGUUUAGUAACCACCUGCCAACGUGGGCAUGUUAUUUUCCCCAAGCCUGGGUUUCCUUUCCUGCAAAAUGAAGAAAGAGACACAAUAAAAGUCAAGUGGUGCAUCUUAUAAUAAAGAGCACUUUGGAAUCAAGACAAUGAAAUAUGAAGAUAUCCAGUAGACUUCAAGCAUCAUGAAUACAAGGAUACCUCUGCAUCCCAGUACAGAUCGUUUCUCCCACCGACCACAGUAAACUCCAAGCCAUCAAGUCCACGAAGGCUGGCGCCUUGUGU